GGGGAAUUUUCCGCAAUGGGCGAAAGCCUGACGGAGCAAUACCGCGUGAGGGAGGAAGGCUCUUGGGUCGUAAACCUCUUUUCUCAGGGAAGAACACAAUGACGGUACCUGAGGAAUAAGCAUCGGCUAACUCCGUGCCAGCAGCCGCGGUAAUACGGAGGAUGCAAGCGUUAUCCGGAAUGAUUGGGCGCAAAGCGUCCGCAGGUGGCAAUGUAAGUCUGCUGUUAAAGAGUGAGGCUCAACCUCAUAAGAGCAGUGGAAACUACAUAGCUAGAGUACGUUCGGGGCAGAGGGAAUUCCUGGUGUAGCGGUGAAAUGCGUAGAGAUCAGGAAGAACACCGGUGGCGAAGGCGCUCUGCUAGGCCGUAACUGACACUGAGGGACGAAAGCUAGGGGAGCGAAUGGGAUUAGAUACCCCAGUAGUC
rnacentral:rRNA from 1 species